rnacentral:rRNA from 1 species
CUUACGGGUGGCUGCAGUGGGGAAUAUUGGACAAUGGGCGAAAGCCUGAUCCAGCCAUGCCGCGUGUGUGAAGAAGGCCUUCGGGUUGUAAAGCACUUUCAGUGGGGAAGAAAGCCUUGGGGCUAAUACCCUCGAGGAAGGACAUCACCCACAGAAGAAGCACCGGCUAACUCCGUGCCAGCAGCCGCGGUAAUACGGAGGGUGCGAGCGUUAAUCGGAAUUACUGGGCGUAAAGCGCGCGUAGGCGGUCUGAUAAGCCGGUUGUGAAAGCCCCGGGCUCAACCUGGGAACGGCAUCCGGAACUGUCAGGCUAGAGUGCAGGAGAGGAAGGUAGAAUUCCCGGUGUAGCGGUGAAAUGCGUAGAGAUCGGGAGGAAUACCAGUGGCGAAGGCGGCCUUCUGGACUGACACUGACGCUGAGGUGCGAAAGCGUGGGUAGCAAACAGGAUUAGAUACCCCAGUAGUC